rnacentral:rRNA from 1 species
CUACGGGGUGCUCCAGUGAGGAAUAUUGCACAAUGGGGGGCACCCUUCUUCCGCAACGCCGCGUGGAGGAUGACGCAUUUCGGUGUGUAAACUCCUUUUAUAUGUCAAGAAAAUGACGGUAGCAUAUGAAUAAGCACCUGCUAACUCCGUGCCAGCAGCCGCGGUAAUACGGAGGGUGCAAGCGUUACUCGGAAUCACUGGGCGUAAAGGACGCGUAGGCGGGUUGGAAAGUCAGGUGUGAAAUCCUACAGCUUAACUGUAGAACUGCACUUGAAACUUCUAAUCUAGAGUAUGGGAGGGGGAGAUGGAAUUAGUGGUGUAGGGGUAAAAUCCGUAGAUAUCACUAGGAAUACCUAAAGCGAAGGCGAUCUCCUGGAACAUUACUGACGCUAAGGCGUGAAAGCGUGGGGAGCAAACAGGAUUAGAUACCCCUGUAGUC